ACUAAGCGUACACGGUGGAUGCCCUGGCAGUCAGAGGCGAUGAAGGACGUGCUAAUCUGCGAUAAGCGUCGGUAAGGUGAUAUGAACCGUUAUAACCGGCGAUUUCCGAAUGGGGAAACCCAGUGUGUUUCGACACACUAUCAUUAACUGAAUCCAUAGGUUAAUGAGGCGAACCGGGGGAACUGAAACAUCUAAGUACCCCGAGGAAAAGAAAUCAACCGAGAUUCCCCCAGUAGCGGCGAGCGAACGGGGAGCAGCCCAGAGCCUGAAUCAGUAUGUGUGUUAGUGGAAGCGUCUGGAAAGGCGCGCGAUACAGGGUGACAGCCCCGUACACAAAAAUGCACAUGCUGUGAGCUCGAUGAGUAGGGCGGGACACGUGGUAUCCUGUCUGAAUAUGGGGGGACCAUCCUCCAAGGCUAAAUACUCCUGACUGACCGAUAGUGAACCAGUACCGUGAGGGAAAGGCGAAAAGAACCCCGGCGAGGGGAGUGAAAAAGAACCUGAAACCGUGUACGUACAAGCAGUGGGAGCACGCUUAGGCGUGUGACUGCGUACCUUUUGUAUAAUGGGUCAGCGACUUAUAUUCUGUAGCAAGGUUAACCGAAUAGGGGAGCCGAAGGGAAACCGAGUCUUAACUGGGCGUUAAGUUGCAGGGUAUAGACCCGAAACCCGGUGAUCUAGCCAUGGGCAGGUUGAAGGUUGGGUAACACUAACUGGAGGACCGAACCGACUAAUGUUGAAAAAUUAGCGGAUGACUUGUGGCUGGGGGUGAAAGGCCAAUCAAACCGGGAGAUAGCUGGUUCUCCCCGAAAGCUAUUUAGGUAGCGCCUCGUGAAUUCAUCUCCGGGGGUAGAGCACUGUUUCGGCAAGGGGGUCAUCCCGACUUACCAACCCGAUGCAAACUGCGAAUACCGGAGAAUGUUAUCACGGGAGACACACGGCGGGUGCUAACGUCCGUCGUGAAGAGGGAAACAACCCAGACCGCCAGCUAAGGUCCCAAAGUCAUGGUUAAGUGGGAAACGAUGUGGGAAGGCCCAGACAGCCAGGAUGUUGGCUUAGAAGCAGCCAUCAUUUAAAGAAAGCGUAAUAGCUCACUGGUCGAGUCGGCCUGCGCGGAAGAUGUAACGGGGCUAAACCAUGCACCGAAGCUGCGGCAGCGACGCUGAUGCGUUGUUGGGUAGGGGAGCGUUCUGUAAGCCUGCGAAGGUGUGCUGUGAGGCAUGCUGGAGGUAUCAGAAGUGCGAAUGCUGACAUAAGUAACGAUAAAGCGGGUGAAAAGCCCGCUCGCCGGAAGACCAAGGGUUCCUGUCCAACGUUAAUCGGGGCAGGGUGAGUCGACCCCUAAGGCGAGGCCGAAAGGCGUAGUCGAUGGGAAACAGGUUAAUAUUCCUGUACUUGGUGUUACUGCGAAGGGGGGACGGAGAAGGCUAUGUUGGCCGGGCGACGGUUGUCCCGGUUUAAGCGUGUAGGCUGGUUUUCCAGGCAAAUCCGGAAAAUCAAGGCUGAGGCGUGAUGACGAGGCACUACGGUGCUGAAGCAACAAAUGCCCUGCUUCCAGGAAAAGCCUCUAAGCAUCAGGUAACAUCAAAUCGUACCCCAAACCGACACAGGUGGUCAGGUAGAGAAUACCAAGGCGCUUGAGAGAACUCGGGUGAAGGAACUAGGCAAAAUGGUGCCGUAACUUCGGGAGAAGGCACGCUGAUAUGUAGGUGAAGUCCCUCGCGGAUGGAGCUGAAAUCAGUCGAAGAUACCAGCUGGCUGCAACUGUUUAUUAAAAACACAGCACUGUGCAAACACGAAAGUGGACGUAUACGGUGUGACGCCUGCCCGGUGCCGGAAGGUUAAUUGAUGGGGUUAGCGCAAGCGAAGCUCUUGAUCGAAGCCCCGGUAAACGGCGGCCGUAACUAUAACGGUCCUAAGGUAGCGAAAUUCCUUGUCGGGUAAGUUCCGACCUGCACGAAUGGCGUAAUGAUGGCCAGGCUGUCUCCACCCGAGACUCAGUGAAAUUGAACUCGCUGUGAAGAUGCAGUGUACCCGCGGCAAGACGGAAAGACCCCGUGAACCUUUACUAUAGCUUGACACUGAACAUUGAGCCUUGAUGUGUAGGAUAGGUGGGAGGCUUUGAAGUGUGGACGCCAGUCUGCAUGGAGCCGACCUUGAAAUACCACCCUUUAAUGUUUGAUGUUCUAACGUUGACCCGUAAUCCGGGUUGCGGACAGUGUCUGGUGGGUAGUUUGACUGGGGCGGUCUCCUCCUAAAGAGUAACGGAGGAGCACGAAGGUUGGCUAAUCCUGGUCGGACAUCAGGAGGUUAGUGCAAUGGCAUAAGCCAGCUUGACUGCGAGCGUGACGGCGCGAGCAGGUGCGAAAGCAGGUCAUAGUGAUCCGGUGGUUCUGAAUGGAAGGGCCAUCGCUCAACGGAUAAAAGGUACUCCGGGGAUAACAGGCUGAUACCGCCCAAGAGUUCAUAUCGACGGCGGUGUUUGGCACCUCGAUGUCGGCUCAUCACAUCCUGGGGCUGAAGUAGGUCCCAAGGGUAUGGCUGUUCGCCAUUUAAAGUGGUACGCGAGCUGGGUUUAGAACGUCGUGAGACAGUUCGGUCCCUAUCUGCCGUGGGCGCUGGAGAACUGAGGGGGGCUGCUCCUAGUACGAGAGGACCGGAGUGGACGCAUCACUGGUGUUCGGGUUGUCAUGCCAAUGGCACUGCCCGGUAGCUAAAUGCGGAAGAGAUAAGUGCUGAAAGCAUCUAAGCACGAAACUUGCCCCGAGAUGAGUUCUCCCUGACUCCUUGAGAGUCCUGAAGGAACGUUGAAGACGACGACGUUGAUAGGCCGGGUGUGUAAGCGCAGCGAUGCGUUGAGCUAACCGGUACUAAUGAACCGUGAGGCUUAACC
rnacentral:rRNA from 1 species